UACGAAGGGGGCUAGCGUUGCUCGGAAUCACUGGGCGUAAAGGGUGCGUAGGCGGGUCUUUAAGUCAGGGGUGAAAUCCUGGAGCUCAACUCCAGAACUGCCUUUGAUACUGAAGAUCUUGAGUUCGGGAGAGGUGAGUGGAACUGCGAGUGUAGAGGUGAAAUUCGUAGAUAUUCGCAAGAACACCAGUGGCGGAAGGCGGCUCACUGGCCCGAUACUGACGCUGAGGUGCGAAAGCGUGGGGAGCAACAGGG
rnacentral:rRNA from 1 species